AAUGCUGUUGCUGUUGUUUAGGGGUUUGUGAGUUGUUUGACAUGAGGUCUUAGGUUGGCCUGAGUUGGAUCUGAUCAUCAUCCUGGGCCCUCCAGAGCCUCCUGUGGCAGGAGGGGACUCACACCACUUUCUGGAUGCCCGAGGCUGUGUACGUCAGGCCUUGCAGCUGAACGAUGGCAUCCACCAGGCUCUGAGGGUUCAGGCUGCUCUUGAAUUCCGUGAAGGUUCCAGGGCUGGAACUCAGGUCCUCAGGCAGUGCGGCAAGUGCCUUUACCCACUGAGCCAUCUCACCAGUGGCCCUCUGUUAUUCCUAAUUGGCCUUUUCUCUUGGAAUAAUUUUGGAUUUAUAAUUCAUUCCCCGUGUAGUUUAAGAUAAAGAUAUCAGUGAUUAUAUAGAAAACACAACACGGAAAACUUCACUCACUUGUUUGAAUUGUCUAUAGUGAGGUUUCAGAGUUAAAUUGUUUUUAAAAUC
rnacentral:lncRNA from 1 species